rnacentral:rRNA from 1 species
UACGAAGGGGGCUAGCGUUGCUCGGAAUGACUGGGCGUAAAGGGCGCGUAGGCGGCUCUCAUCGUCGGGCGUGAAAUUCCUGGGCUUAACCUGGGGGCUGCGUUCGAUACGUGGGGGCUUGAGUGUGGGAGAGGGUCGUGGAAUUCCCAGUGUAGAGGUGAAAUUCGUAGAUAUUGGGAAGAACAUCGGAGGCGAAGGCGGCGACCUGGUCCAUGACUGACGCUGAGGCGCGAAAGCGUGGGGAGCAAACAGG